rnacentral:rRNA from 1 species
GACAGAGGGGGCAAGCGUUGCUCGGAAUUACUGGGCGUAAAGGGCGCGUAGGCGGGAUGGCAAGUCGGUCGUGAAAUCCCUCGGCUCAACUGAGGAUCGUCGAUCGAUACUGCCGUUCUUGAGGAUUGCAGAGGAGACUGGAAUUCCCGGUGUAGCGGUGAAAUGUGUAGAGAUCUGGAGGAACACCGAUGGCGAAGGCAGCCUUCUGGGCCAACACUGACGCUCAUGCACGAAAGCGUGGGGAGCAAACAGG